UACGUAGGGUGCGAGCGUUGUCCGGAAUUAUUGGGCGUAAAGAGCUUGUAGGCGGUUUGUCGCGUCUGUCGUGAAAAUUCGAGGCUCAACCUCGAACUUGCGGUGGGUACGGGCAGACUAGAGUGUGGUAGGGGAGACUGGAAUUCCUGGUGUAGCGGUGAAAUGCGCAGAUAUCAGGAGGAACACCGAUGGCGAAGGCAGGUCUCUGGGCCACUACUGACGCUGAGAAGCGAAAGCAUGGGGAGCGAACAGG
rnacentral:rRNA from 1 species